UCUUCUUACAAACAUCACAUUCAUAAGGUUUAUCGCCAGUAUGUGUUCUUUUAUGUAUGGCUAAAUAACUUGACCGUGUAAAUCUCUUCUUACAAACAUCACAUUCAUAAGGUUUAUCGCCAGUAUGUGUUCUUUUAUGUAUGGCUAAAUAACUUGACCGUGCAAAUCUCUUCUUACAAACAUCACAUUGAUAAGGUUUGUCCCCACUGUGUGUUCUUUUAUGUUGGGCCAAGUUGCCUGAUUGUGUAUAUCUCUUCUCACAAACAUCGCAUUCAUAAGGUUUGUCUCCAGUGUGCGUUCUUCUGUGGAUGACCAAGCUGCCUGAGUGUGUAUAUUUCUUCUCACAAACAUCGCAUUCAUAAGGUUUGUCUCCAGUGUGCGUUCUUCUGUGGAUGACCAAUUUGCCUGAGUGUGUAUAUCUCUUCUUACAAACAUCACAUUCAUAAGGUUUGUCUCCAGUGUGCAGUCUUCUAUGUCUCACCAAGCCUACUGAUUGUGUAAAUCUCUUCUCACAAACAUCGCAUUCAUAAGGUCUGUCUCCAGUGUGCGUUCUUCUGUGGAUGACCAAGCUGCCUGAGUGUGCAAAUCUCUUCUUACAAACACCACAUUCAUAAGGUUUGUCUCCAGUGUGCGUUCUUCUGUGGAUGACCAAGCUGCCUGAGUGUGUAUAUCUCUUCUCACAAACAUCGCAUUCAUAAGGUUUGUCUCCAGUGUGCGUUCUUCUGUGGAUGACCAAGCUGCCUGAGUGUGUAUAUUUCUUCUCACAAACAUCGCAUUCAUAAGGUUUGUCUCCAGUGUGCGUUCUUCUGUGGAUGACCAAUUUGCCUGAGUGUGUAUAUCUCUUCUUACAAACAUCACAUUCAUAAGGUUUGUCUCCAGUGUGCAGUCUUCUAUGUCUCACCAAGCCUACUGAUUGUGUAAAUCUCUUCUCACAAACAUCGCAUUCAUAAGGUCUGUCUCCAGUGUGCGUUCUUCUGUGGAUGACCAAGCUGCCUGAGUGUGCAAAUCUCUUCUUACAAACACCACAUUCAUAAGGUUUGUCUCCAGUGUGCGUUCUUCUGUGGAUGACCAAGCUGCCUGAGUGUGUAUAUCUCUUCUCACAAACAUCGCAUUCAUAAGGUUUGUCUCCAGUAUGCGUUCUUCUGUGGAUGACCAAGCUGCUUGAGUGUGUAUAUUUCUUCUCACAAACAUCGCAUUCAUAAGGUUUGUCUCCACUGUGCGUUCUUCUGUGGAUAACCAAUCUGCCUGAGUGUGUAUAUCUCUUCUUACAAACAUCACAUUCAUAAGGUUUGUUUCCUGAGUGUGCUGUUUUGUGUUUUACUAAGCUCCCUGAUGUCUUUCCACGAUGACCAGACAUGGUUUAAUCCAGUUUGUGAGCUUGAUUGAGCAAUCUAUAACUACCUGAAAAAUAUAAAACAGAAAUUCAAGGCCUGGAAGUUAG
rnacentral:lncRNA from 1 species